rnacentral:lncRNA from 1 species
UCUGCGUUGGUUUGUUGUUGAUUGGCCAUGUAUAGUGAUGUUGAACUCCCUUCCGAAGCGUCUUUAAUAAGUGGUUGGUCAAAAUCCAGAUUUGCGCCUUGGAAUGCUUGAGUUACUUGCCUUGGAACUGGAUCCGGUGAGGUAAUGCUAUUUGUUGGUGAAGUAGCUCUUCCUGUAGUUCUCCCACUUCGAGUUGUGGGCAUACCCUUCACGAAUUCUA